ensembl:lncRNA
GCGGGCACUCGCUGAGGUCACAACCACUGCUGGGGUGGGAGCGUUUGUGCCACAGCUGGUGAGCAGAGCUGGUGCUCUGGUGAGCGUGCUGCACGCAGAGACUGAGCUCUGGGCCUUCUGUGGAACAGAUCACCCUGUGAGAGCCCGACGGAAGCACCGCGUGUGCACUCGUCGGUACUUUCUGCAGGAUUCCUGUCCCAAAGGAGAUUCCGGGAUAGAGGCGGUCUUAGGAAGAGGGAAGCCAGCUCUUUCCAAGGGCCGGGGAAGUUCCUGCAGAGAGAGCCUCUGGAACUUCAGCUUCCUCUGAGCCUUCAGCAGCCAUGUCUCAGCAAGGAGACGACCGCGGUUCCAAUUGCUGCCGUGUGAGUGGCAAGGUAUGGCUGGGCCUCUUCUGCUUGGUGCUUCCGUUUCCUUGUUUUCAAGGGGAAGGGACGGAGCAGGGGGAGCCCUGCUGGUCCUUGGUGACCUCAGGAACCGGUUGUAUUCAGCGCUCACUGCUGACAGCCUGGGCUAACAACGUGGACGUGGCUCAGGCUGUCUUUUCCCAUAGUGAUAAUCAGUGUCUCAGCACUCUGAUAUCCCAUGUGUGGCACGAUCAGGAACCUCUCUGCAAACCUUGGCUGCCCGUUCCCACCACCGUUUCUCCCUUUCUCUCUUCAGAAGUGGCGCGGUGCGGUUCCCCGCGGUUGGGAGCAGCAGCCAGCAGGCUGCCAGAGAUCCAACCGCGCCUUGCAGCGCACAGAGGGACGCAACAGGGACGGACGGUCCUUCCUGCCAUACAGAAGGAUGGAUCCUGCGCGUCCAUGGAGUGGUGCUGGGCAAGGGGGGAAACGGAAAGCCUCCGCAGGUAAGAAGCUCAUGUGAGCUGUGCUAUGGGUAUGCGCCUCUAAAUAGGGCUGCAUGAAGGGCAGUGUGUGCGAUGGAGGGGAGAGGAAAGGGCACUGCACAUCCGUGCUGGGAACCCAACGUUCAGCCAAGAUCCUAAGAUCCCUUACCGUGAGCACUCGAGACAUCCUAGCACGAUGGCCCAUUCUGCAGAGUGCAAGGACUGCAAGGAUUCUCUUUCAAUCUUGUUGCUUCUCCUUUCCCGAUUAUCACAGAGAGAGGUGCCGAGCCCAACGGAAAGAUCUACGCAAAAGCGGUGCAGGAAGUCCUUCUGGAGAGAGCUCAUCUCCAGGCUGGAGGGCUUCCUACAACAGCAGGUCCCAACACAGGGGGAAGACCUUCCCCUGCCGUGUGCCCCCGCUCUGUCUCCAAGUCCUUGGCUGGAUGUAAACGCAAAGGCUUGGAAGAAGCGAAGCCAACAGCAGCGCAGCUGCCUGCUAACAAAAGAGUGAGGGGGCCGAGCGGAGACAGCGUGCCAGCUCCAGCAGCACACCCUGGGCCUGCUGCAGCGCGGAGCUCCAAGCUAAGAGGUGAGAAGGUGCUGUGGGACCCACCCUGGUGAGCUGCUGCCCUUUUCAAGCACACUGAGUUUGCUCAGGGUUCGCUUUGCUUUUUCCUUCUCUGUGGAGGGGACAAGAGUGGAAGGCUACAAAGUCCAAAGGCAGUGAGGUGCCAGAACACGUAACCCCGUCUCCUUCCAUUAACUCCAUGGUGGUCUUCUGCACAUCCCCCUGGAAAUGUCAUUCACUGGGA